GACAAACGCUGGCGGCGUGCUUAACACAUGCAAGUCGAACGGAAAGGCCCUGCUUUUGUGGGGUGCUCGAGUGGCGAACGGGUGAGUAACACGUGAGUAACCUGCCCUUGACUUUGGGAUAACUUCAGGAAACUGGGGCUAAUACCGGAUAGGAGCUCCUGCUGCGUGGUGGGGGUUGGAAAGUUUCGGCGGUUGGGGAUGGACUCGCGGCUUAUCAGCUUGUUGGUGGGGUAGUGGCUUACCAAGGCUUUGACGGGUAGCCGGCCUGAGAGGGUGACCGGCCACAUUGGGACUGAGAUACGGCCCAGACUCCUACGGGAGGCAGCAGUGGGGAAUAUUGCACAAUGGGCGGAAGCCUGAUGCAGCAACGCCGCGUGCGGGAUGACGGCCUUCGGGUUGUAAACCGCUUUCGCCUGUGACGAAGCGUGAGUGACGGUAAUGGGUAAAGAAGCACCGGCUAACUACGUG
rnacentral:rRNA from 1 species